CCUACGGGGUGCAGCAGUAGGGAAUCUUCGUCAAUGGGCGAAAGCCUGACCGAGCAACGCCGCGUGAAUGAAGAAGGCCUUCGGGUUGUAAAAUUCUUUUAUUAGGGAAGAAAGGUGAUAGGAGGAAAUGACUAUCAAUUGACGGUACCUUAUGAGAAAGCCACGGCUAACUACGUGCCAGCAGCCGCGGGGAUACGUAGGUGGCAAGCGUUAUCCGGAAUUAUUGGGCGUAAAGAGCGCGCAGGUGGUUAAUUAAGUCUGAUGUGAAAGCCCACGGCUUAACCGUGGAGGUGCAUUGGAAACUGGUUGACUUGAGUGCAGAAGAGGGAAGUGGAAUUCCAUGUGUAGCGGUGAAAUGCGUAGAGAUAUGGAAGAACACCAGUGGCGAAGGCAGCUUCCUGGUCUGCAACUGACACUGAUGCGCGAAAGCGUGGGGAGCAAACAGGAUUAGAUACCCGUGUAGUC
rnacentral:rRNA from 1 species